AAAAUCCCCAGUGAGAAACCUCUUUUGUCCCUAUUCCAUCUCGGGCAUACAUACUUAUUUACAUAGGUACCUCUAGAUUAUUAAAUGACAAAGAAAAAAGGGCGGAGAAAAGGAUUUUUCUAUUGGGCGAAAAGGAUUGCGUUUUACUGGAAGCACUAAGGAGAAUAGAAAAUCUAUUCUUUGUAUAUUAUUUAAUUACCAUAAGCUUGGAAGGAAAAUGUUUGGAAUCUUGUUUAAAAAAUAGAGCAAAGUAAAAGGGACAAUACAGAAUUAUUUAGACUAUAAUAAUUAUAGUCUGUAUAUUAAUGAUAAACAAGAAGCAUGCACGAAAUUAAAAGAGACAAGUAGAAUUGAUAAAUUAGUCAGGACAAUAUACAAAUCUGAUAACAAAGAAAUGUGUUUAGGUGAAGCUCUUAAUUUAUUAGAAUCAAACUGGUUGCUACUUAUCUUGAUAAAAGUUUGUGUGGAGUGAGAAAUGAAAUAAAAAGCAAAGAAGAACAUAACAAAUAUUUCGAAAAUCUUAUUAAACAGUUGAUAAAGUUGUCACGAAAUUAUCAUUCAGAUAAGGGGAAAGUAAGAGAUGAUAAAAUGCAAAAGAUAAUUAAUCAGUGUGUACAAGCACUGAGGGAAAUACAUUUAUACAUUAUGAGUGAUGAGACAUUUAUUCUACAAAAAGACUGUUUUUUCCCAUAUAGCAUAUAUAAUCGUGUACCAUUAAGCAUAAUAUAUAACAGUGAAGAUAUACAACAAAUAAUGAAGGUAUCUUCGGUAGAUGAAAUGUCUAUAAUGUUUGAGUUAAUGUUUUUAGCUGAUUUGGAAGAAGGAUAUUUGAUGAACGCAAAAAAUAUUUACUUAGAAGAUGCAAAGAUAUCUGUGGAAGAGUUGUUUCAAAAAUUGUUAUCUAUAAAGGACAAACCACAUGAGGAAAUUAAGGUUUUGAGGAAGGAUAUAGAUUCGACAUGGGAGAACUUUAAUAAUGUUUAUAAUAAAUAUGUAGAGGAGUAUUAUAGGUAUUGGAUAAGUCACUUAGAGUGUUUAAAUGAUUAUUGUAAAAGAUUUGAGUUGUUGAAGGUAAUAAAUCCAUCAGUAGAAAAAUUGUUAGAAGAGAGCAAUGAACAAUAUAAAAUGCUAAAAGAAAAAUGUUAUGGUGUGAAUCCAGAUGAUGAUUUUGUACUACCUAUAUUAUAUUAUUUUAUUUUAAUAGAAGCAUAUUUUCAGUUUGUAAAGAAAUUACUUCAAAACAAAAAGAAUUACAAGACAGGUACACAUAAUUCAAAUGCCUCAGAGAAGAAAAGCUUAACAUUGGAAGAAAGUAAAGAUAGUAAAGAGUUAUCUUGUAAAGAUAAGAUAGAAGAGAAUAAGUUAUCUGACAAAGAACUAUUAUUCCUUACAAAAGAUAAAGUAAAUGCGUAUGUUUCUAAGGCAAAUGAAGCAGCAAGUAAGGAAGAGACAGAGAAUACAAUAGUGUUCGUGUUGGAACACUUAAAGAAAUUAUUGAGCAAUAAUUUUCCAGUAAAGAAAACAGCUUUUGAAAGGCACAGCAAGAAUUUGAGUGGGAAAAGCAAAGAGGAAAUCUGAUUGAGGAAGUAAGCAGUAUUUUUGCAAACAAGGUAUAUCGUUCAAAAAUGGAUAGAGAAUUAAAAGGUAUAAUGUUUGAAAAACAAAAAAAGAUUAUAAGAGAAGUCAUAGAAUACACUAUGAAGCAUUACUCACCUUCAUUGUUACGAGUAGUAUUAAACAAAUCAGGCCCAACCAUCACUUUAAUGUGAAAUCACUCAGAGGUGUGUGUAAGAGUUUUGCUCAAAAGGAAUUAAAGAAAGAUAAAUCUUGGCUUAUAAAGGCUUUAAAUAAAGAGGGAGAAGAAAUAGAACAAUACAUUCCAAGAAUUGAAUUUGAUGCAAAUGAUAUUACGCAUAAACAAGAAGAAUUAGAGAUAUUGGGGUUAACUACAUCAAUAGGGGGAAGACCUGAUAUUGAAGGUAAGAUAAUCUGUGAAGAAUAUAACAUAAGGUUACAUGUUAUUGAAUACCAACAACUCAUUAAUGAGUGGAUACAUCAAGUUGUCGACGGUUCAUACUCUAAAUCUAUAGAUGGGAAUUGUAUGAAUUAUAAUGAAGACGACAUGAUAUAUAUAGUAAACGAUGGCAGUCUACAUUUUGAACCAAUACUCGAUAAAAGAAAAAGUUCAAAUCCAGAACAAGUAGACAGUCGUCAACUUGAUGAAAUAAUAGAAGAGAUUGUAAAGGAAUUUUUGAAUCAAGGUAUUUCACUUAAUGAUGCAAAUAUAAGGCAGGGUGCAAAUGUGGAGAUGGAGAUAAAAUCAUAAAACAAAGGUUAAGUUUGCCUGAGUGGAAAAAAAAUGUUGUUGAAUUUUUACUUAAUAAUUUAUAUACAAUAAAGGCUUAUGUACAAACUA